rnacentral:rRNA from 1 species
GAUGAACGCUGGCGGCGUGCCUAAUACAUGCAAGUCGAGCGAACGGACGAGAAGCUUGCUUCUCUGAUGUUAGCGGCGGACGGGUGAGUAACACGUGGAUAACCUACCUAUAAGACUGGGAUAACUUCGGGAAACCGGAGCUAAUACCGGAUAAUAUUUUGAACCGCAUGGUUCAAAAGUGAAAGACGGUCUUGCUGUCACUUAUAGAUGGAUCCGCGCUGCAUUAGCUAGUUGGUAAGGUAACGGCUUACCAAGGCAACGAUGCAUAGCCGACCUGAGAGGGUGAUCGGCCACACUGGAACUGAGACACGGUCCAGACUCCUACGGGAGGCAGCAGUAGGGAAUCUUCCGCAAUGGGCGAAAGCCUGACGGAGCAACGCCGCGUGAGUGAUGAAGGUCUUCGGAUCGUAAAACUCUGUUAUUAGGGAAGAACAUAUGUGUAAGUAACUGUGCACAUCUUGACGGUACCUAAUCAGAAAGCCACGGCUAACUACGUGCCAGCAGCCGCGGUAAUACGUAGGUGGCAAGCGUUAUCCGGAAUUAUUGGGCGUAAAGCGCGCGUAGGCGGUUUUUUAAGUCUGAUGUGAAAGCCCACGGCUCAACCGUGGAGGGUCAUUGGAAACUGGAAAACUUGAGUGCAGAAGAGGAAAGUGGAAUUCCAUGUGUAGCGGUGAAAUGCGCAGAGAUAUGGAGGAACACCAGUGGCGAAGGCGACUUUCUGGUCUGUAACUGACGCUGAUGUGCGAAAGCGUGGGGAUCAAACAGGAUUAGGUACCCUGGUAGUCCACGCCGUAAACGAUGAGUGCUAAGUGUUAGGGGGUUUCCGCCCCUUAGUGCUGCAGCUAACGCAUUAAGCACUCCGCCUGGGGAGUACGACCGCAAGGUUGAAACUCAAAGGAAUUGACGGGGACCCGCACAAGCGGUGGAGCAUGUGGUUUAAUUCGAAGCAACGCGAAGAACCUUACCAAAUCUUGACAUCCUUUGACAACUCUAGAGAUAGAGCCUUCCCCUUCGGGGGGGCAAAGUGACAGGUGGUGCAUGGUUGUCGUCAGCUCGUGUCGUGAGAUGUUGGGUUAAGUCCCGCAACGAGCGCAACCCUUAAGCUUAGUUGCCAUCAUUAAGUUGGGCACUCUAAGUUGACUGCCGGUGACAAACCGGAGGAAGGUGGGGAUGACGUCAAAUCAUCAUGCCCCUUAUGAUUUGGGCUACACACGUGCUACAAUGGACAAUACAAAGGGCAGCGAAACCGCGAGGUCAAGCAAAUCCCAUAAAGUUGUUCUCAGUUCGGAUUGUAGUCUGCAACUCGACUACAUGAAGCUGGAAUCGCUAGUAAUCGUAGAUCAGCAUGCUACGGUGAAUACGUUCCCGGGUCU